UGCUCCAUGGGAGGAUCGAACACCUAACCUCGGCAUUUCUUAUUCUUAUAAGUAACACGCGCUAACCAGUUGAACCAAUGGAGC